UACGUAGGGUGCAAGCGUUGUCCGGAAUUAUUGGGCGUAAAGAGCUCGUAGGCGGCGUGUCGCGUCGGGAGUGAAAGCCCGUUGCUUAACGGCGGGUUGGCUUUCGGUACGGGCAUGCUGGAGUGCGGCAGGGGAGACUGGAAUUCCUGGUGUAGCGGUGGAAUGCGCAGAUAUCAGGAGGAACACCGGUGGCGAAGGCGGGUCUCUGGGCCGUUACUGACGCUGGAGGAGCGAAAGCGUGGGGAGCGAACAGGA
rnacentral:rRNA from 1 species